rnacentral:rRNA from 1 species
UGGGGAAUAUUGCACAAUGGGGGAAACCCGUGAUGCAGCGACGCCGCGUGAAGGAAGAAGUAUCUCGGUAUGUAAACUUCUAUCAGCAGGGAAGAUAAGUGACGGUACCUGACUAAGAAGCCCCGGCUAACUACGUGCC